rnacentral:lncRNA from 12 species
AUGAGCGCAGGGAGAGGAGCAGGGCUGAGCGCAGGGAGAGGAGCAGGGCUGGGCGCAGAGAGCAGCAGGGGUGAGCGCAGGGAGAGCAGCAGGGAUGAGCGCAGGGAGAACAGCAGAGCUGGGCGCAGGGAGAGCAGCAGAGCUGGGCGCAGGGAGAACAGCAGGGAUGAGCGCAGGGAGAGGAGCAGGGAUGAGCGCAGGGAGAACAGCAGGGAUGAGCGCAGGGAGAGCAGCAGGGAUGAGCGCAGGGAGAACAGCAGGGAUGAGCGCAGGGAGAGGAGCAGGGAUGAGCGCAGGGAGAGCAGCAGGGCUGAGCGCAGGGAGAGCAGCAGGGCUGAGCGCCUGGAGCCGGGCCGGGCCGAGCCGGGGGCGGCGCGGCCCGGGGGGCUCAGCCAGACAAAGAACAGUCCCGGCAACCAAAUAAGGAAGUGGGAGCUGGAGGAUUUCAGAAUAGGAGCAGAGGGGGAGAUGCCAGGGAAGCCGGGGGAGCAGUCUGUGUGCAGGGAGCUGCUCUCUGUUGUUACCAGCGGAGUGCUGAAUGCCGGGGAUCAAGGCUGGCGGACUUGUCCGUAUCCUUCUGUGAUCUUCAGCCAGCAAAGUUAAGAACUCAAGCUGUGUUUGUCAUAUUUUCUCGUGUUUCUGAAAGCUCUCUACAGAUUUUUGUUUGGAAAGGAGGGGUCUUUGGCAGCCCUGUUGGUUAGCAGACUGAAGAUAAAUGAGUCAUCCUUUGCCAGGGGGAAAGAAGAAUCCCAUUGCAGAUAAUUUCAAGCAUUACAAAAACAUAUUACAAGUCUUUGUCUACUGUAGCAUUCUAAUGAAAACUUAGAAAUUCAUCUAGAAAGGGUAUACAAUCACCCCUGAGAGUCAGAGGUGUCUUUGCAGUUAAGAACAUUAGUAGAGAAAGAGAAAAGAG